UGGUAGUNCACGCCCUAAACGAUGUCGAUUAGCUGUUGGGCAGCAUGACUGCUUAGUAGCGAAGCUAACGCGUGAAAUCGACCGCCUGGGGAGUACGGUCGCAAGAUUAAAACUCAAAGGAAUUGACGGGGACCCGCACAAGCGGUGGAUGAUGUGGAUUAAUUCGAUGCAACGCGAAGAACCUUACCUGGUCUUGACAUGUACGGAACCCUCCAGAGACGGAGGGGUGCCUUCGGGAGCCGUAACACAGGUGCUGCAUGGCUGUCGUCAGCUCGUGUCGUGAGAUGUUGGGUUAAGUCCCGCAACGAGCGCAACCCUUGUCAUUAGUUGCCAUCAUUAAGUUGGGCACUCUAAUGAGACUGCCGGUGACAAGCCGGAGGAAGGUGGGGAUGACGUCAAGUCCUCAUGGCCCUUAUGACCAGGGCUUCACACGUCAUACAAUGGUCGGUACAGAGGGUAGCCAAGCCGCGAGGUGGAGCCAAUCUCACAAAACCGAUCGUAGUCCGGAUUGCACUCUGCAACUCGAGUGCAUGAAGUCGGAAUCGCUAGUAAUCGCAGGUCAGCAUACUGCGGUGAAUACGUUCCCGGGUCUUGUACA
rnacentral:rRNA from 1 species